GAAAUGGUUUGCUCAAGUCCGUCGUCACGAGAGGAUCAGGUCAUUGGCUGAGCCCGGAACCGGGGAGGAGGCCCGAGCGCAGGCCGCCUUCUCCGCCCCCGGGUGCAGCGCAAGGGCGCAGCCUCUGCCGUGCGUGUGCAAGUGA